rnacentral:rRNA from 1 species
CAGGUCCUCCUACGGGAGGCAGCAGUGGGGAAUUUUGGACAAUGGGGGCAACCCUGAUCCAGCCAUGCCGCGUGUGUGAAGAAGGCCUUCGGGUUGUAAAGCACUUUCGGACGGAACGAAAUCGCGCGGGCGAAUAUCCCGCGUGGAUGACGGUACCGUAAGAAGAAGCACCGGCUAACUACGUGCCAGCAGCCGCGGUAAUACGUAGGGUGCGAGCGUUAAUCGGAAUUACUGGGCGUAAAGUGUGCGCAGGCGGCCGAGCAAGUCGAGUGUGAAAGCCCCGGGCUUAACUUGGGAAUUGCGCUCGAAACUACUUGGCUGGAGUGUGGCAGAGGAAGGUGGAAUUCCACGUGUAGCGGUGAAAUGCGUAGAGAUGUGGAGGAACACCAAUGGCGAAGGCAGCCUUCUGGGCCAACACUGACGCUCAUGCACGAAAGCGUGGGGAGCAAACAGGAUUAGAUACCCUGGUAGUCCACGCCCUAAACGAUGACGACUAGUUGUUGGGGGAGUUAAAUCCCUUAGUAACGCAGCUAACGCGCGAAGUCGUCCGCCUGGGGAGUACGGUCGCAAGAUUAAAACUUAAAGGAAUUGACG